UUAAAAGGCGUUGCGGCCAUGCGGUCGGGGUCUGUUCGGAGCAGUACUGAGAUUCGGAACUGUAAUACCUUGGAAUAAACUCUGGAUUUAACUCUCCGGCAGAACACACUCUCUUCCUCUUCACUAUCGCCUGGACUUUUCUACUAGAGGGUUGUUUCCUGACCAAUUCCUGCUGCAACAAAGACGAUGUAAAACCAAGCUGGGACUCCAUCAGCUCCUGAAGAGGGACAAGUCCAAGCUGAGAGUUGUGAGCUUGUGUCUGCAAAGUCACUGUCCAUUAUUCAAUACAUUUCAAGUGCAUCAUCAGUCUAACUGGACAGAUGAGGUUGUGUGUGCUCAGAAGCUGUCUAGUGCCAUAGCUACCACCUGACAAACCAUUUGUGGACCAUACUUCAACUACUAGAUACUGGGAAGGAUUAGUUAAGGAGGGAAAAAAAAAAAAAAAAAGAGCAACAUUCAACAGGAAACAGACUUCUCAUUGUGCCCCUUCAUUGUAUAUUCUCCGUGUUCCCUUUUUUGCUCAGAGAUGCAGGCCAGUUUGGGACACUCUAAAUUGUCAAGAGCAGCAAGGGGUUACCCAGAGUGUGCUUUGUUUGGCAACACAGACAGCUUUUUUUGUUAACUGACUUGAACUCAUUGUCUCUGCCCCCCCCUCCCAAACCUCUCUCCUGCCCUCACCACCCUUAUCCCCAGCCCAGCUCACCCUCCACAGAUCCCCUUACUUUGGGUUCAUGAAGUACAAAUUAGCAUAAUCAGAUUAUCUGCAUGGGGUUGUUCAGCAUGGAGCUGAAAAGGAAGAAAAGAAAAAGUGGCUCACAAAGAGAAGCCCUGAGGAGGGCAGAGCGGGUGGCAUUGCUGUUGUGCUGUGGUGCUGAAAACUUGCACCUGCGUAGCAAGCAGAUCCUCUUCUCAUUAAGGACUCUUAGAUGGUAUUAAAGCAUAGGAAUUAAUUGGGGGGAGGGUAAGAACACUGAAAGGAUGACGAGGGAGAGGGAGAGGAGAGGAGAGAGGAGAGGAGAGGAGAGGUUGAUUUAACUGUCUAGACUGAGAAUGUAUUCUUUGCUGACAGAGAAAAACAGUUUGAUUUCUAUUCAUCAUAGAGAAGAGAUCAUCUUGAUAAUCUGGCCUAUCAAUAUAAGACUUUUAGAGUUUCUGCAGGAAACUGAUAAAGGUGGAAGAAAAAAAAAGCCAACUCUGUAGGGGCAGGGUAUGUGACUGUAGAGGGUUUUACUGGACAUAUUCUGUGGUGGACUUGCCUUACUAAGAGUAGUAAACAAUCUGCUUGAUUGCCUUAGUGCCUGCCCUGAUUCUCUUUCUGCCCAUGAUAGGAGAUGAAUGCCCCCAGAGGACUCAAGACUCAAAUCCGUAGCCACAGCUUUGCAAAGCAGCUGGGGGCUCUAUAUUCUGGUGUAUUCAGGAACUUGAGACUGAAUGACUUGAAGGUGCCUGUUUUUAAAAAUAUAUUGAGGCUGCUUCUAUGCUACAAGCUCUUCCAGCUGAAUUGUCUAACCAGUCAACCUCAUCUUUCUGAUGUACCUUAAAAGCAUUCAUGGACAGAGAUUACAAGAAAAACACCCCAAAAAGCAGUCACGGCAACCCUAAAAUGUUUCAACUUGAGCCCUUGAGAUCAAGAGUCUUACUGACAGCCUCAGCCCUAGAGUUUUUCCUUACUUCAGAGAGACAGGAUAAAAAGAAACAUAAAUGUCAGGGUAAGUCAAGCUUUGAGGCAGUAUUUAUGACAAACUCCUGCCUAACUUGAACCUCCAGUUUUCAAGAAGGCUGUCUUGGGUUUGAUUUAUCUUAACAGCACCACACAGAGAGCUGCUGGAAAUAUUUAACUGAUGAAGUUGUGAUAAAUAGCAGAGAAACUUUUUUUACUAUUAUUUUAGCAAUAUUUUCACUUAUUUGAAUUUAAAAAUUCUUCUUUAGCAACUUAUAGCUGUACUGUCAAGGGACAUAGAAAACAUGUUUGAUAACUAGAAACACGUAGUCAGUGUAUGUCUGUUUUGGUUCAGGAACAAAACAGACAUACACUGUACUGUAUAUUAGGGAAAUAUUUGAGAUUAAUAGAAGCCACUACUUCAGAAUUACCAAAUUACUGGCAGUUUGCAUUACUUGUUAGAUGUAAGAGAAAGAAGGUGAUGUUACUCUGUUUUCUGCAGCUGACAUAUACAGGAUUCUCUGUCCAUGUCAGAGACAGAAGUCUAUGUCCCUACAACAACUGUAGUGUCCAUCCAGUUUAUGUCAGGCACUGGCAAUCUGUCUUGUUUUCACCUACACUGUAGUCUGAAAGGAGAAUUAUUUUGAUUAAAAAGGCAAAAUUUGUGCAGUUUUGUUUGCAUGUCACCUUAAGUGAACUCAAAUUGAUUUCAAGUAGAUUAUAAAGGUAACAUAGAUCAGUAGAUAACAGACAGAAAGAUAUGAAGACAGACAUGUCUGGUUUGUGUUUUCUGUAUCUGCUCAGCUAUUCUAUUCAAAAUUGACAGGUAAACUUACGGUGCUGAAGUUACCUGCCAUGACUUUCUUCUAAACCUGAGAGCUGGGGAGCACCUGUUUGCAUCCCACAUGUCUAUGCAGAAAUGUGGCCUUUGAGAUUGGGCUGUCCUGUGCCAAGCACAGUGGCUGGGCAUGUUCACCAGACAGCAGCUGGCUGCUCUUCUGUGCCUGGAAAUUUGGGGAAAAUGUUUGCAGCAUAGCUCAGGAGGAAGAGCCAGAGCAGGCAGCUCCCUUCAGUGUUGAGUUAUUUCAGUUCCCUUUCAAGUGGUGGGAGUAUUUCCCACCCAAGCAGGCUGCACCAGCACUAAGUGCUCUUGGCAAGUCCAAUCUGCCAAGCUCACUCUCUCUGUAGGAAGCUCUCAACUGGCAGCUGGCUUUUUGCCAUUCAGUCCCACAGAGAGCCCUGCAAAGCCUCUCAGCAGGACCUGAUUCUUCCUUCUGAAAUGUCUUUUAACCUACGGGCAGUAAAAUAUUUCAGGUCACGGUCAGCUGGUCAGAGAUCCUGUGGUUAACUAGGUCUGGUAGCCUCCACUCAAAAUGCUUUUAGGCAUUGUAGUUUCCUCUUGAGAGUUCAGGUCUUUCCAGUAAGUGUAAAGCUUUUUAAAGCUGGAAUUUAGUGCUGUCAAGUCUUGAGCUGAGGGAAUCCAUAGGUUACGUUCUGGUUGGUUGCAAAUCAAUGUAUCAGAGCAUGGCAGUCCUGCUGUGAUCUGAAGGCAGAGUUAAUAUUGUCUGCUCUUGGCCUUUCUCAGCUCCAGGGUUGAGCACUGCUGUCUGCCAGGGUUUGCCAAAUACAGUCACCAAGACAAAAUCAAUGCUAAUCAAUGUCUACAGACAGGAUUUGAAGCAGAACACCUCCCUGGAGACUUGCUGUCUGCAGGCUGUCAUCCUUUAGCUUUUCAUUAAGGUUUUAGGCUACCUAGGAGUCUGUCUUUCAAGGUGUAGAGCAGGGAAUUGCAGAGAAAGUGAGGGACCUUCCCUAGAUCUAAGGUACUGUGUUCACAGCCAUCUGCAGAAAGGUGUGUGCAUGGAAAACCUCUGCUGCCCCGUGCUUGUGAGUACCUCUCUGCAUUGCUAGCCAAUAUAAAAGUUAGAGACUUCAUCUGAAUCCCAGUGCAGUCCAUACUGAGAUCCACAGGAGUCUCUGAGAUCCACUUCUUCCUGCCCUUCAUCCUGAACCUCUUCUGUGCUGUUCUGUGACAUGGACACUCACCAGGACACAUGCACGCAAGAAAGGCUGGCUGCUCUUGGCCUCUCUUUCUGGUUCUCAGUUCUGAGGAGUCUCUUCUCCAAAAGAAGUUUAUCACUUCAAGGGUCCUCUCUUUUGCUCUGCUGGGUUUGCAAUCCCAGGCAGUGAAACAAACUGUAGAGGGAUGGGGUAUGCAUUUGUGUGCACAUAUGGAAAGGGAGUGGAGUGAGAAUGCAUUGGGAUGAGGCUCUGUUCCUUACAGAGAAGAAUUGGACCAACUCAGUGUGCAAAGAAAAUGCUGCCCUGUCACCGACAUGUUUUAUGAAAAAUCCUUUCCUUAGGAUUUUUCCCCUCCUGAGAAACUGAGAGGCCUCAGGAACAAACUAUAAACAAUUCUUAUCUGCUGCUGUGGAAUGCAACAGGGGGAAUCUGUGAUUGGCCUCGUCAGGCUGUUUUCAAUUAAGAGCCAAUCACAGAUCACCUGUCCGGCUGGUCUCGGUCUGAGGGAAGACUUUGUUAUUUCAUUCCUUUUCUAUUCUUAGCUUAGCCUUCUAGUGAAAUCCUUUCCUCUAUUCUUUUAGUAUAGUUUUAAUAUAAUAUCUAUCAUAUAAUAAUAAAUCAAGCCUUCUGAUA